rnacentral:rRNA from 1 species
AGGGCACCACCAGGAGUGGAGCCUGCGGCUUAAUUUGACUCAACACGGGGAAACUCACCCGGCCCGGACACUGGAAGGAUUGACAGAUUGAGAGCUCUUUCUUGAUUCAGUGGGUGGUGGUGCAUGGCCGUUCUUAGUUGGUGGAGUGAUUUGUCUGGUUAAUUCCGAUAACGAACGAGACUCUAGCCUACUAAAUAGACCUCGGCAUUCUUUGUACUGUCGAGGCGCUUCUUAGAGGGACGGGCGGCGUUUCAGCCGCAUGAGAAAGAGCAAUAACAGGUCUGUGAUGCCCUUAGAUGUCCGGGGCCGCACGCGCGCUACACUGAAGAGAUCAGCGUGCAUGUGCUUCCUACUCCGAAAGGAGCGGGAAACCGAGUGAACCUUUUUCGUGCUUGGGAUUGGGGAUUGUAAUUAUUCUCCAUGAACGAGGAAUUCCCAGUAAGCACAAGUCACCAGCUUGUGUUGAUUACGUCCCUGCCCUUUGUACACACCGCCCGUCGCUACUACCGAUUGGAUGUU